rnacentral:lncRNA from 1 species
GGGGCUGCGGCCACCCAUGAGACGGCCUGGUCCCUUCCAUCUCCUGCUGGUGUCUCCCCUUAGCAGAAAAUUCAGGAAGCCCCGGGACAGAGGGGCCUCGGUGAGGCUGCCCUGUAGAUGCCCCCAACCACACGGCAGAGGAGGGCAGAAGACGAAGGGGCGGGGGACACAGAGAAAGGAAGCAACAGAGACCAGAUCAGUUUCCAGACUGGCUGUGUUUACAUCGUCGUGGGACAUCAGGCCCCUGGUUGCCUCUGUGGACACGAGUCUGCUAAGGAUUCCUGAUUUUCCCAGGGCACCUGGAAGAUCAGAAACCUGA